rnacentral:rRNA from 1 species
ACGGAGAAGGCUAUGUUGGCCGGGCGACGGUUGUCCCGGUUUAAGCGUGUAGGUGUGUGUUCCAGGUAAAUCCGGUUCACUUUAACACUGAGGCGUGACGACGAGGCACUACGGUGCUGAAGCAACAAAUGCCCUGCUUCCAGGAAAAGCCUCUAAGCAUCAGGUAACAUCAAAUCGUACCCCAAACCGACACAGGUGGUCAGGUAGAGAAUACCAAGGCGCUUGAGAGAACUCGGGUGAAGGAACUAGGCAAAAUGGUGCCGUAACUUCGGGAGAAGGCACGCUGACACGUAGGUGAAGUGAUUUACUCAUGGAGCUGAAGUCAGUCGAAGAUACCAGCUGGCUGCAACUGUUUAUUAAAAACACAGCACUGUGCAAACACGAAAGUGGACGUAUACGGUGUGACGCCUGCCCGGUGCCGGAAGGUUAAUUGAUGGGGUCAGCGCAAGCGAAGCUCCUGAUCGAAGCCCCGGUAAACGGCGGCCGUAACUAUAACGGUCCUAAGGUAGCGAAAUUCCUUGUCGGGUAAGUUCCGACCUGCACGAAUGGCGUAAUGAUGGCCAGGCUGUCUCCACCCGAGACUCAGUGAAAUUGAACUCGCUGUGAAGAUGCAGUGUACCCGCGGCAAGACGGAAAGACCCCGUGAACCUUUACUAUAGCUUGACACUGAACAUUGAGCCUUGAUGUGUAGGAUAGGUGGGAGGCUUUGAAGUGUGGACGCCAGUCUGCAUGGAGCCGACCUUGAAAUACCACCCUUUAAUGUUUGAUGUUCUAACGUGGACCCGUUACCCGGGUUGCGGACAGUGUCUGGUGGGUAGUUUGACUGGGGCGGUCUCCUCCUAAAGAGUAACGGAGGAGCACGAAGGUUGGCUAAUCCUGGUCGGACAUCAGGAGGUUAGUGCAAUGGCAUAAGCCAGCUUGACUGCGAGCGUGACGGCGCGAGCAGGUGCGAAAGCAGGUCAUAGUGAUCCGGUGGUUCUGAAUGGAAGGGCCAUCGCUCAACGGAUAAAAGGUACUCCGGGGAUAACAGGCUGAUACCGCCCAAGAGUUCAUAUCGACGGCGGUGUUUGGCACCUCGAUGUCGGCUCAUCACAUCCUGGGGCUGAAGUAGGUCCCAAGGGUAUGGCUGUUCGCCAUUUAAAGUGGUACGCGAGCUGGGUUUAGAACGUCGUGAGACAGUUCGGUCCCUAUCUGCCGUGGGCGCUGGAGAACUGAGGGGGGCUGCUCCUAGUACGAGAGGACCGGAGUGGACGCAUCACUGGUGUUCGGGUUGUCAUGCCAAUGGCACUGCCCGGUAGCUAAAUGCGGAAGAGAUAAGUGCUGAAAGCAUCUAAGCACGAAACUUGCCCCGAGAUGAGUUCUCCCUGAGACUUUAGGUCUCCUGAAGGAACGUUGAAGACGACGACGUUGAUAGGCCGGGUGUGUAAGCGCAGCGAUGCGUUGAGCUAACCGGUACUAAUGAACCGUGAGGCUUAACCUUACAACGCCGAAGAUGUUUUGGCGGAUGAGAGACGAUUUUCAGCACUGAUUCNNNNNNNNNNNNNNNNNNNNAGAAUUUGUCUGGCGGCAGUAGCGCGGUGGUCCCACCUGACCCCAUGCCGAACUCAGAAGUGAAACGCCGUAGCGCCGAUGGUAGUGUGGGGUCUCCCCAUGCGAGAGUAGGGAACUGCCAGGCAUCAAAU